rnacentral:rRNA from 1 species
UUAACUCUGGGAUAAGCCUGGGAAACUGGGUCUAAUACCGGAUAUGACUCCUCAUCGCAUGGUGGGGGGUGGAAAGCUUUAUUGGGGUUUUGGAUGGACUCCCGGCCUAUCAGCUUGUUGGUGAGGUAAUGGCUUACCAAGGCAACAACGGGUAGCCGGCCUGAAAGGGUGACCGGCCACACUGGGACUGAAACACGGCCCAAACUCCUACGGGAGGCACCAGUGGGGAAUAUUGCACAAGGGGCGAAAGCCUGAUGCAGCGACCCCGCGUGAGGGAUGACGGCCUUCGGGUUGUAAACCUCUUUCAGUAGGGAAGAAGCGAAAGUGACGGUACCUGCAAAAAAAGCGCCGGCUAACUACGUGCCAGCAGCCGCGGUAAUACGUAGGGCGCAAGCGUUAUCCGGAAUUAUUGGGCGUAAAGAGCUCGUAGGCGGUUUGUCGCGUCUGCCGUGAAAGUCCGGGGCUCAACUCCGGAUCUGCGGUGGGUACGGGCAGACUAGAGUGAUGUAGGGGAGACUGGAAUUCCUGGUGUAGCGGUGAAAUGCGCAGAUAUCAGGAGGAACACCGAUGGCGAAGGCAGGUCUCUGGGCAUUAACUGACGCUGAGGAGCGAAAGCAUGGGGAGCGAACAGGAUUAGAUACCCUGGUAGUCCAUGCCGUAAACGUUGGGCACUAGGUGUGGGGGACAUUCCACGUUUUCCGCGCCGUAGCUAACGCAUUAAGUGCCCCGCCUGGGGAGUACGGCCGCAAGGCUAAAACUCAAAGGAAUUGACGGGGGCCCGCACAAGCGGCGGAGCAUGCGGAUUAAUUCGAUGCAACGCGAAGAACCUUACCAAGGCUUGACAUGAACCGGUAAUACCUGGAGACAGGUGCCCCGCUUGCGGUCGGUUUACAGGUGGUGCAUGGUUGUCGUCAGCUCGUGUCGUGAGAUGUUGGGUUAAGUCCCGCAACGAGCGCAACCCUCGUUCUAUGUUGCCAGCACGUGAUGGUGGGGACUCAUAGGAGACUGCCGGGGUCAACUCGGAGGAAGGUGGGGACGACGUCAAAUCAUCAUGCCCCUUAUGUCUUGGGCUUCACGCAUGCUACAAUGGCCGGUACAAAGGGUUGCGAUACUGUGAGGUGGAGCUAAUCCCAAAAAGCCGGUCUCAGUUCGGAUUGGGGUCUGCAACUCGACCCCAUGAAGUCGGAGUCGCUAGUAAUCGCAGAUCAGCAACGCUGCGGUGAAUACGUUCCCGGGCC